rnacentral:tRNA from 1 species
GAUUCACUAGCUCAAUAGGUCAGAGCACUUGACUGUUAAUCAAGGGGUUCUCGGUUCGAGUCCGAGGUGAAUCGCCA